GACGAACGCUGGCGGCGUGCCUAAUACAUGCAAGUUGAGCGCUGAAGGUUGGUACUUGUACCAACUGGGUGAGCAGCGAACGGGUGAGUAACGCGUGGGGAAUCUGCCUUUGAGCGGGGGACAACAUUUGGAAACGAAUGCUAAUACCGCAUAAAAACUUUAAACACAAGUUUUAAGUUUGAAAGAUGCAAUUGCUUCAAUCAAAGAUGAUCCCGCGUUGUAUUAGCUAGUUGGUGAGGUAAAGGCUCACCAAGGCGAUGAUACAUAGCCGACCUGAGAGGGGGAUCGGCCACAAUGGGAAUGGGACACGGCCCAAACCCCUACGGGAGGCAGCAGGAGGGAAUCUUUGGCAAUGGACGGAAGGCCGACCGAACAACGCCGGGGGAGGGAAGAAGGGUCUCGGAUCGGAAAACUCUGUUGGUAGAGAAGAAAGUUGGUGGGAGUGGAAAGCUCAUCAAGUGACGGUAACUACCCAGAAAGGGACGGCUAACUACGUG
rnacentral:rRNA from 1 species